AGUGAACGCUGGCGGUAGGCCUAACACAUGCAAGUCGAACGGCAGCACAGUAAGAGCUUGCUCUUACGGGUGGCGAGUGGCGGACGGGUGAGGAAUACAUCGGAAUCUACUUUUUCGUGGGGGAUAACGUAGGGAAACUUACGCUAAUACCGCAUACGACCUACGGGUGAAAGCAGUGGAUCUUCGUACCUUUCGCGAUUGAAUGAGCCGAUGUCGGAUUAGCUAGUUGGCGGGGUAAAGGCCCACCAAGGCGACGAUCCGUAGCUGGUCUGAGAGGAUGAUCAGCCACACUGGAACUGGGACACAGUCCAGACUCCUACGGGAGGCAGCAGUGGGGAAUAUUGGACAAUGGGCGCAAGCCUGAUCCAGCCAUACCGCGUGGGUGAAGAAGGCCUUCGGGUUGUAAAGCCCUUUUGUUGGGAAAGAAAAGCAGCAGGUUAAUACCCCGCUGUUCUGACGGUACCCAAAGAAUAAGCACCGGCUAACUUCGUG
rnacentral:rRNA from 1 species